rnacentral:rRNA from 1 species
ACUGAAUCCAUAGGUUAAUGAGGCGAACCGGGGGAACUGAAACAUCUAAGUACCCCGAGGAAAAGAAAUCAACCGAGAUUCCCCCAGUAGCGGCGAGCGAACGGGGAGGAGCCCAGAGCCUGAAUCAGCAUGUGUGUUAGUGGAAGCGUCUGGAAAGGCGCGCGAUACAGGGUGACAGCCCCGUACACAAAAGCGCAUGUGCUGUGAGCUCGAUGAGUAGGGCGGGACACGUGGUAUCCUGUCUGAAUAUGGGGGGACCAUCCUCCAAGGCUAAAUACUCCUGACUGACCGAUAGUGAACCAGUACCGUGAGGGAAAGGCGAAAAGAACCCCGGCGAGGGGAGUGAAAAAGAACCUGAAACCGUGUACGUACAAGCAGUGGGAGCACCCUUUGGGGUGUGACUGCGUACCUUUUGUAUAAUGGGUCAGCGACUUAUAUUCUGUAGCAAGGUUAACCGUAUAGGGGAGCCGGAGGGAAACCGAGUCUUAAUUGGGCGUUAAGUUGCAGGGUAUAGACCCGAAACCCGGUGAUCUAGCCAUGGGCAG